GUCCACGCUGUAAACGAUGAAUACUAGCUGUUGGUGACGAUAAGUUAUCAGUAGCGCAGCAAACGCGAUAAGUAUUCCGCCUGGGGAGUACGGCCGCAAGGCUAAAACUCAAAGGAAUUGACGGGGCCCGCACAAGCGGUGGAGCAUGUGGUUUAAUUCGAUGCAACGCGAAGAACCUUACCUACUCUUGACAUCCUUAGAAUCCAUGAGAGAUUGUGGAGUGCCGAAAGGAACUAAGAGACAGGUGCUGCAUGGCUGUCGU
rnacentral:rRNA from 1 species